GACGAACGCUGGCGGCGUGCUUAACACAUGCAAGUCGAGCGGUAAGGCCUCUUCGGGGGUACCCGAGCGGCGAACGGGUGAGUAACACGUGGGUGACCUGCCCUCAGCUCUGGGAUAAGCCUGGGAAACUGGGUCUAAUGCCGGAUAUGACCUUUCCUCGCAUGGGGUUUGGUGGAAAGUUUUUUCGGCUGGGGAUGGGCCCGCGGCCUAUCAGCUUGUUGGUGGGGUGAUGGCCUACCAAGGCGACGACGGGUAGCCGGCCUGAGAGGGCGACCGGCCACACUGGGACUGAGACACGGCCCAGACUCCUACGGGAGGCAGCAGUGGGGAAUAUUGCGCAAUGGGCGGAAGCCUGACGCAGCGACGCCGCGUGGGGGAUGACGGCCUUCGGGUUGUAAACCUCUUUCGACCCCGACGAAUUUGGACGGUAGGGGUAGAAGAAGCACCGGCCAACUACGUG
rnacentral:rRNA from 1 species